UUCGUCAAACCUCCACUUCCAUAUCCUUAAUCGCCACUUUUUUACGCACUUUCAACAAAGUAAAUACGAUAAACUUCCUUCUCCAUCCAUCCGUCCAUCCGUCCAUCCGUCCAUCCACGAAAGAUACGCGAAACGCGCGCGAGUUCCAUCUUUUUUAAUUUUUUAAACCGUUAAAAAACACGCUUGCUUAUUCGAAUUAAAUAAUCGAAAAUUUCCCGAUACGAACGACUCGCCACGCCCGAACACGAUCAACUGAAAAGAAAGUGCGUAGAAGGGCACGGUCGUCGAGCGAAACUUGCCUAAAUGUAAACACAAUAAGCCUCGGGUGGGGCGACACGAGUCACGUAACGGCGACGUAAACACAAGCUGUAACGCCGCCGGCGACCCAUUAUGAAAUCCAAUAACGCGAGUUAAGACGCAGUUACGGGACGAACAACAAACGAAACGGUCCUCGUACCGUUUACCGAGUAAUCGCGGAUAAGCUCGAUGAUCGAAUCGACUCGACGUUAAUAGACUGGGAGGAGGAGAAGAUCGGAGGGGGUGGAGAUUACACGUGGGUGGAAGUUUCAGGGAUUUUUAAGGAACUGGCGAAGAAAAAAGGAUUUCCGGGGGUAGAAAUUGGAGUUGGAAAUUCGGUUGGAAAAUCUUAUGGAGAGAAAACUGUGCAACAACAACAACGAAACGCGUUGUCACGGAGAAAAAGUUUAGGGAAGAGGGAGUGACGUGUCGGUGGAGAAGCAUUGCUUGGACGAUAAUCGGCAAAGGGAGCGAGCGACACUUUGAAAGGAACUGCUGUUCGAGCCACGUGGCGCACCGAUUUACGAGAGUGUUUGUCGUCGUCGUCGUCGUCGUCAUCGUCGUGGCCACUUUGGCGAAUAACGGUGAAUCGCGAGCAACGUGCAAGGAGACGAGUGUUCUUCGCUUUGACGGCUUAACUUUCUGAAUUCUGCGGGGAUUCGCCGAUCUCCUUUGUCGAGGUAAAUCGACGUAACUUGCGAGCACGAAAUGUCCUCCGUUUCUUUUUCUUUUUGCUCAGUGACGAAAUGUAGGGGAUAAAGAAUGGAGAAGUGGAAGAACGUGUUUCGAAGGGGAAAAUACGAUUCGUAACUGAACAAAUAUAUAUUUUUGAAAAUGGA